rnacentral:rRNA from 1 species
CUACGGGUCACUGCAGUGAGGAAUAUUGCACAAUGGGGGGAACCCUGAUGCAGCAACGCCGCGUGGAGGAUGACGCAUUUCGGUGUGUAAACUCCUUUUAUAUGUCAAGAAAAUGACGGUAGCAUAUGAAUAAGCACCAGCUAACUCCGUGCCAGCAGCCGCGGUAAUACGGAGGGUGCAAGCGUUACUCGGAAUCACUGGGCGUAAAGGACGCGUAGGCGGGUUGGAAAGUCAGGUGUGAAAUCCUACAGCUUAACUGUAGAACUGCACUUGAAACUUCUAAUCUAGAGUAUGGGAGGGGGAGAUGGAAUUAGUGGUGUAGGGGUAAAAUCCGUAGAUAUCACUAGGAAUACCUAAAGCGAAGGCGAUCUCCUGGAACAUUACUGACGCUAAGGCGUGAAAGCGUGGGGAGCAAACAGGAUUAGAUACCCGCGUAGUC